GAUGAACGCUGGCGGCGUGCCUAAUACAUGCAAGUCGAGCGAACAGACGAGGAGCUUGCUCCUCUGACGUUAGCGGCGGACGGGUGAGUAACACGUGGAUAACCUACCUAUAAGACUGGGAUAACUUCGGGAAACCGGAGCUAAUACCGGAUAAUAUAUUGAACCGCAUGGUUCAAUAGUGAAAGACGGUUUUGCUGUCACUUAUAGAUGGAUCCGCGCCGCAUUAGCUAGUUGGUAAGGUAACGGCUUACCAAGGCAACGAUGCGUAGCCGACCUGAGAGGGGGAUCGGCCACACUGGAACUGAGACACGGUCCAGACUCCUACGGGAGGCAGCAGUAGGGAAUCUUCCGCAAUGGGCGAAAGCCUGACGGAGCAACGCCGCGUGAGUGAUGAAGGUCUUCGGAUCGUAAAACUCUGUUAUUAGGGAAGAACAAAUGUGUAAGUAACUAUGCACGUCUUGACGGUACCUAAUCAGAAAGCCACGGUUAACUACGUG
rnacentral:rRNA from 1 species